CAAGGGUUAUCUAGCACCGGAUCGGGCCUGCCACUCCGCCCCUCCCAAACUUCCCCUACGUAAACUCUCUAGAAAAUGGAAUGAAUAUUUGACACCUGGUAUCUGCGUCUUGUUUCUUUCAUAAAUACCUCUUCUUGUAGCAUAAAAGAUGCAAGCUAAACCAUAAAAUGUUUUGCUGUAUCAGUUACCAACGCCAAAUACGCUGCCCCCAACAAUGUUCGUACUCACUUCUUCCCUUGUUUACUCACAUUUUAGAACUUGGCGUCGUUUCAGUUUUUGUAGAUAACCGUUAAUAUUUAAGAAACGCGUGUAACUUGUUCGAUUGUUUGUUUUUAGGAAUCAUAUUUAUGAUUUUGGUAAGUGUCGGUAUGUUUUUAUCUAAUUUCUGGAAGAAUAUAUAUAAACAGCUUGAAAGUUUGACAUUACAUUCGUACUCAUCCGUACUCCAGAUGUGUCCGUACUCAAAGUAACUCGAAUGUAAAGUUAUUAUCCUUGAAAGUGGGUUCCUGUUUACCAAAUGUUGAAGUUAUAUGAAUAUUUUUUUUGUAUUUCAUGUUUGUUAUAAUGAGAGAUAAAAAUCGUGUAAAAAUCUUCAGUAUGUGCUUUUAGUAAUGUUGUUGAUUUUUGAACCCUGCUUAUGGAUAUUUAAAACAUGUUUACCGUUUCCAAGAACAACAGAAUGGUAAUCAAAAAAAAUGUACCGGAAUCGUAAAGUCAUCACACAUGGAUACAUUUAAUUGUCGGGUAAUGUUUUUAUGCAAAAAUAGCGACAAUACACGUUUGAUUUGUGUAUUUACGUCUGCAGAAGCCCUUGGGAUAUGUUUGUGACCGCGUCUCGGUAACAAACAAUCCCGUGGGCUUCUGCAGAUGUUAAUACACACAAAAAAAACGUGUAUUAUCCCUACAAUAUAGAAUGCUUUAUGACUAUUUGAAAAAAAAAAUCACUACAUCUCAUUAUUAUAUAUGGAUUCACAUAACGCUAUGUCAAGGAUGAAACUUUACAAAAAAAGAGUAAAAAAAAAAAAAAUAACACUUAAGACGGCUACCGAAACCACUACCACAAAUACAAAGUUCCUUAACAAUAUUGCUCAUUGCAGACAUGGAGCGGUCUUCUGCGCAUGUCCGGAAGUGAUUAUCAAUUUGAGCACACGGCAAAAAUACGCAAAUGAUUGCAUGUCCGCGCGCAUUUAGUGUAUAUUAUGUAUAAUAUACUAACUAUAUGUUAGGGUUAGUAUUACCAUGAUUACAAAAUAUAUACAUUAAAGAUAUUUUUUAUUCAGUUUGCUUGAAUCGGGUAUAUACUGGAGUCUGUAAUUUAUCACAGGCGCUCUAGGUUUGCAAUGAGUCACUGUCUAUAUAUAUAUAGUAUUGCUUAUACUUAUGUGUACUAUUACAUCAAUGAAUUAAUACCUGCUGUCUUAUAUGUGUCGUAUUGAAUCAUAUUUAUUUGUAAACAAUGCCUAAUUAACAGACCCAUACAUUCAUACAUGUUUAUAUAUACAGGUCGGAACGACUCCACGACUGAUCGUCAGAAUAAUCGACCCAAUGCCUUUGGUAACAAAGAGUGUUACUGCAAAACUGAAACUCUGUGUCUACAUAUGAUCGAAUCCAUCCUACUGCAGGAACAACCACGCAAUAGUUAGACCUCCGGUUUUCUGGUUGCCAUGGUAAUAAAGAUGAAAGACAAUACAUACAGAACAUUGACGGGGUGUUUUUUAAAUUGGAGCAUGUAGGGCAUGUUGUGUCUCAGUCGCAACGAUUAUAACUGAACACGGCAACGAUCAAAACCGUACAAAGAUGCAUACAGAUUGUUGAUGGACGUAUUUUCAGAUUUGGAGCAUAUCGGGUUGUGGUUUAGUGUUCAACGGCAAAGAUCACUGCCAUACAUCAUGGACGAUGGUGGACGAAGGUAUUGACAGGUCUGAACCAUAAAUGGGUUACCAUGGAAACGUACAUCUACAUAGAAGCAAUGAAGCUGCAGUAGUGUAAUAGUCAACCUGUACGAAGUUAUAUAGCAGAUUUCAGACAGUAGGGUGUGUUUGUUUACUUUUUCAUUUCUUGUGGCAACACUUUGAUUUAUUUAUUUCUCGUUUUACACAUGCCUUUCUGUAUCUAUAUACACAACAGGGUUACCAUGGAAACUUGUAUCUACAUCCCCGCAAUGGUAUAAUGGAUGACGGACGUUCAGAUGUAAAAAGUUAUACAGCAAAUUUUGGAGCAUAUAGGUUGUGUAUGUUUACUUUUCAUUUCUUGUAGCGACACUUUGAUAUAUUUGUUUCUGUUUUUACACAUGCAUUUCUGUAUCUAUAUACUCAACAGGGUUACCAUGGAAACUUAAUUUACAUCUAACCAUUGAUAUAAAUGGAUGACCGACGUCGACGUCUACAAUCAGCAGUGAGAGAAAUUCUGCAAACGAUCACGUGACAUACGCUUAGCUCCAAGACCUGUAAAUGAAUUCAGAUUUUUCCAAAUUGGUGGCGGAUGUUUUAUACAAGCACAUGUGAAGAUAUAAUGUUGUAGAUGUUGCAACUAUGAUGCUUGAUAUUGACAACCACGUGCACGGAUGUCAUGUUGUAGAUUUCACAGUGGUUAAGUGGAUGGUGCAGCUUGGUCCUUUUUCUAAGGCACAACGGGCCAGAGUGACUGAAGAGUUUCGGGCAUGCGCAUACAGUUUCUGGCUUUGGUGAUUGUAAAGCUCGAAGCGUUUAAUGAGAAACUCAAACUUUCCGGCGAGCAGCAGUUUCCUGUAUCAUGCAAGUAAGGACGUUUAAUCUUGUAAACAGUGUCUUUUCAUUUUCAAAGAGGGUUGAAAAACCCAGCUUUCCAAGUAUUGGUGAGAAACCCAGGAAAAACGCAAUGCGGCUAUUUAUUUUAUUGUAUUAACAGGAAGAAACUUUUAAUUGAUGGAACUAUAUAACUGCCGAAGGACAGCCUUGCUGGUACCAUAAAGCUGCUGAUAACCAGAGGUGCACUAGUACCAGUCGAUACCGGUCACCAGAGAUGCACUGGUACCCUAUCGAUGCCUAUCAUCAGAGGGGUGCUGGGUCCCUUAUGACAACAUAUUAAUCAACUGUUUUC